AUUGAACGCUGGCGGCAGGCCUAACACAUGCAAGUCGAGCGAGCGGCGGACGGGUGAGUAAAGUAUGGGGGCUGCCCGAGAGAGGGGGAUAACUCCUGGAAAAGGUAUAUAAUACAGCGUACUAUCGGAGAAUCCAUAUGGGAUUAGCUAGUAGGUGAGGUAAUGGCUCACCUAGGGGACGAUCCCUAGCUGGUCUGAGAGGAUGAUCAGCCACACUGGUACUGAUACACGGCCCAGACUCCUACGGAGGCAGCAGUGGGGAAUAUUGCACAAUGGGCGCAAGCCUGAUGCAGCCAUGCCGCGUGUAUGAAGAAGGCCCUAGGGUUGUAGAGUACUUUCAGUCGGGAGGCGUUACCGACAGAAGAAGCACCGGCUAACUCCGUGCCAGCAGCCGCGGUAAUUC
rnacentral:rRNA from 1 species